CCGACAGAAACUAGCAGUGCAUAGCAACCUUAAAUGGGGUAUGAAGGAUGUCGGACUUUGGGUGAGCAUGAUGUUACCUCAGAGACAGCCUAAUUUUGUUAAUAAACAGGUUACAAAUGCUGCACAGAAAAAAAGGCUUUUGCUGGGCUUAUAACGAAUCCCAAUGUAACUGGCUAAAUAAUUUUAGAUGGGGUUGAAUUUUG